AUCUAGCUGAUGAAUCCUAAAUAGGACGAAACGUUCGUCCUAGAU
rfam:Schistosoma mansoni strain Puerto Rico chromosome 6, complete genome